UAAUUCACAAUGCGGCGGUGUACGCGCAGACGCCCAUUAUUAAACGAAAACGUGGUAGCUGUUUGUUCCGACUGCGGACUUUCGUGCUUUACUUUGCUAAGAGCUGUUAUCAUAUUUUUUUAGUAGUUCUUACUACUAUAUUAUAUGUUUUUUAAAAUUUCUAUAUCUAUAAAGUGCAUCCGAUCAACUUUUCCUAUUAAGUAAGUUGCACAAUUACGACACAUUUUCCUUCAAGAAAUCAAUAUUCCGAAGAUACCACACGUUAAUUAUCGUUCCAUGUAGAUAUGCCUGCACUUACACGUUCUCUUCAAUUGUGUGAAAAUUAAUUGAAUUAUAAAUACGUAAGAGUAUGGCAUCACUCUCAUGUUUUAGAACAUUAGCAUUAGGUGCUUGUAAUAUGUUUCAUAAAGGCUCACGUCCAUUAGUUUUGUGUGGUCCUUCAGGAAGUGGAAAAAGUACGCUUUUAAAAAAGCUUUUUGAAGAAUUUCCAGAUACAUUUGGUUAUUCUGUGUCUCAUACCACUAGAAGUCCUAGACCAGGCGAGGAAGAUGGGAAACAUUAUCAUUUUACUACUAAAGAUAAGAUGCAAAAACAAAUAGAACAGGAUGAAUUUCUUGAAACUGCUACAUUCAGUGGGAAUAUGUAUGGUACUAGUAAACGUGCAGUAGAAGAAGUACAAAAAGCAGGUAAAAUUUGCGUAUUAGAUGUUGAAGUGCAAGGUGUAAAACAAAUAAAACAAAGUUCUUUGGAUCCAUUGUAUAUAUUUAUUAAAGCACCAUCUAUCGAAGAAUUGGAGAAAAGAUUAAGAGCUAGGAAAACAGAAACAGAAGAUGCUUUGCAACGGAGAUUAUCCAUUGCUAGGCUAGAGAUAGAAUAUGAAUUAUUUUAGGAGAAAAGCCUGGUAAUUUUGACAUAGUGAUUGAAAAUGACAAUGUUUCUAAGGCAUAUGAAAAACUAAGAGACUUUUUGAUGUCAAAUCUAAAGCAAGGUGAUGCAGGACGUUAAACAUAUGCCUCUUAAAGAUAUAUUAUUCUUUAAAAUCAUAAAUCAUAAAUUAUAAUUAUUUUUAUAUAUCAUUGUGUAAAUUAUAAUAAUAGAUAAUUAUUACACGAUGAAGUGCAUGAUUAACUUAUGUCCAAGGAUCGGAUUACUAGAUCAAAGAAUAAAUUUAUGCAAAUAAUUUUAUACAAUGCUAAAUAAAUCUUAAUAUUGCAAGAGUAAAUAUAGGUAUACAUGCUUCAAGCUUGUUACAUGCAUGGUACUAAUGUAAAAAUUCAGAUUAAUGUCACUUUAAAGGCAUUCUAAAGCAAGGAUUACAAAUGUAUAGUUUAAAGUAAAACUAUGAAUAAGGAAACAAGGAUAUGCAGAAUGUUCAUACAAUUUGUUUCUAUCCAAUACUUAAAGAGACUAAGUAUAUGUCAAGUAACAGAGACUCGUUAAGUUAUUUUUGUAGUUUCUUUUACAGUUCUGUAUAUACUUUUACUUCGACUUGAAUAGGAAAAACAUUGUACAGUAUUUACAUAAUAGUAACUUAUAGAUCGAUUCAGUGCAAUACUCUAGUGCUUUAAUGCACAUAGAAUGUGUGCAAGUGUCAAAUUAUUUUAGAGUAAUGAUAUCUUGCCGAAUGUAUACAAAGGACAGUCAAUUUAUGCGAAGACGGAACUUUACUACAGGCUAGAUAUCUAAAAAGAAAACUGAAGAAUUAACUAUAAUGUUUUAGAUGUAGCUAACUGAGACUAUUCACCAGACGAAGUUGUGUUCCAAUAGUGUAGAUUACUUAUAAAGUACUUGUGGUUUUGUCCUUGUCAAACAUCGUAUACUCACUGCACAAAUCGAGAUUCAUUCAUAAAUUCAAUUACACUUGAAUGUAUCGUAUUGCCGAUUUAUCAGAAGGGAAAGGCAUUACACAAACAUCCCUUUAAGAGCAUUCAUCAUCGAAUAGACAUAUUUCACACGUUUUAUUUAUUUGCAAAUAUUUUCGAAAAAUUAUAUUCGAAAUAAAUAUAUUUUUAUGUUAGAUAAAAAUCGACGAAAUUUUCGAAAUUCUUACAAUUAUUGUCGUUUAUCUGUUUCUUACACGUCACAUUUGUACAUGGUACAAGAUAUGAAUAUGAAACAUUUUAUUUAUCGAAUAUCAGCAUGUUGUUGCUUCCACGAGCGCGGAAGAAAUUACAUAUUUUCCUAUAUACGGGGUGUUAUCGCUUACUUGUUAGUACGUGUGUAUGGUUACAUAAAUAUAACGAUAAAGCGACGUUUGAAUGAACAAGGCGUAGCGAAAUAUCUAUGCAUUGUUAAAGAAAAUUGUAUCAUUGUUGUAUCGUAAUAUAUCGAAUAAAUAUUUCAACCGUA